UUAUUAAACUGGAAAAGCUGAAAUUGUUUCAACGAUGCAACUCAAAUUAGAAUGCUUAAAAUGUGAAACAAACUGUGCCUCAAAAAAGAGUUGACCAACAAGAAAGCUUAUUCUAUGCUUAUUCGAAAUGGUUUAUAAUAAGCAUUCAGCUGCUAAAAAAAAUGAUGAUACAUUCAAAACUGGAAUACAAUUUCAUGCUUAAUAACGAACAAUUUAAACUAUGCAAGUGAAUGAACAAGCAAGCCUUAAAAGUGAACAAAACAAUAUGAAUUUUCAACAUUCAAUUGGAUUCUUGUACGACAUUUGGAAGCAGAUUUACAUAUUGCCAAGCUUCAACUAAUGAAAAAAAGGAAUUUCAUACGGCAAAUUAAUCGAAAAAGCGAAAAGGAAAACUGUAAAGAAAACAAUUGAAAUAUCAAAAUGAAAUGGUUGAAGUCCCUUUUCUUUAGAGAUGAAAAUGUUUUUGCAGAUUUUUAUGUGGCAAAUUUAUUAAAGAAGCUAUAAACUGCAAAAAAAAAAGAUUGAAAUAACAAAAGGAAAUGUGCCAGACUAUUUUCUUUGAAGAUAGAAAUG